UUGCUUCAGCAGCACAUAUACUAAAAUUGGAACAAUACCAAGAAGAUUAGCAUUGCCUGUGUGCAAGGAUAACAUGCAAAUUUUUGAAGCAUUCCAUAUUUAU